GACGAACGCUGGCGGCGUGCUUAACACAUGCAAGUCGAACGGUGAACGAGGGAGCUUGCUCCCUCCGGAUCAGUGGCGAACGGGUGAGUAACACGUGAGCAAUCUGCCCCGAACUCUGGGAUAAGCGUUGGAAACGACGUCUAAUACCGGAUACGACGCGGGAGGGCAUCCUCUCCGCGUGGAAAGAACUUCGGUUCGGGAUGAGCUCGCGGCCUAUCAGCUUGUUUGUGAGGUAACGGCUCACCAAGGCGACGACGGGUAGCCGGCCUGAGAGGGUGACCGGCCACACUGGGACUGAGACACGGCCCAGACUCCUACGGGAGGCAGCAGUGGGGAAUAUUGCACAAUGGGCGCAAGCCUGAUGCAGCAACGCCGCGUGAGGGACGACGGCCUUCGGGUUGUAAACCUCUUUUAGCAGGGAAGAAGCGAAAGUGACGGUACCUGCAGAAAAAGCACCGGCUAACUACGUG
rnacentral:rRNA from 1 species